rnacentral:rRNA from 1 species
GACGAACGCUGGCGGCGUGCUUAACACAUGCAAGUCGAACGGAAAGGCCCUGCUUUUGUGGGGUGCUCGAGUGGCGAACGGUUGAGUAACACGUGAGUAACCUGCCCUUGACUUUGGGAUAACUUCAGGAAACUGGGGCUAAUACCGGAUAGGAGCUCCUGCUGCAUGGUGGUGGUUGGUAAGUUUCGGCGGUUGGGGAUGUUCUCGCGGCUUAUCAGCUUGUUGGUGGUGUAGUGGCUUACCAAGGCUUUGACGGGUAGCCGGCGUGAGAGGGUGAACGGAGAAAUAGGGACAGAGAUACGGGCCAGAGGACUAAGGGAGGCAGCAGUGGGGAAAAUGGCACAAUGGGCGGAAGCCUGAUGCAGCAACGCAGCGUGCGGGAUGACGGGCGUCGGGUUGUAAACAGCAUUCGCAUGUGACGAAGCGUGAGUGACGGUAAUGGGUAAAGAAGCACCGGCUAACUACGUG